AAUAUACUUUUUUUACAACGAGUCUACAAAGGAGUGGUUCUACAACAGACAAUUAAUUCUUGUGUUUUGAACGUUUGGAAUGUACUCUAUUUGGCUCAAUUGAACGCAACGGACGUGAUCGCAAGUCCUUGUUGAACUUCAGUAUAUAUUGACUUUCCCCGUAGGAAGGGAUUGCCAAUAAUUGAAUGUUCGCUUUCUAUUGGUGUGUGAUCUCAAAAUUGCAUGUAUUUGUGAUGGCGAGUGAUCUAAUCCCUUAGGAAAACUUGGGCGACCGCUGUAAUACUUCUCUUUAAAACAGAGGCAGGUUGCGGCAAUAACAGGUCUGUGAUGCCCUCAGAUGUCCCGGGCCGCACACGUGCUACAUUGAUUAGCGCAGUGCGCAUACUUUCAAUAUGAUACAUUGGAUUGGUGGUGAAUUGUUGGCCCCGUCUAAUACUGUCCUGUCUGAGAAGGCUGGGUAAUCAAUUGUAAGUGCUGGUUCCUACUCCCGUUGAGCAUUUUAAUAAUGGCCUCUCUACAUCCCUAGUAACCCUAGUGCGAUUGUAGUUGAGCCUUGCCAUUUAUGCAAGUGUCAAUUCUCAGUGGGGACAGACAUUUGAUAAUUCUUUGUCUCGUUCUUAACUAGGAAUGCCUUGUACGGGUCUUGGUUCAACAGACCACCCGGAAUACGUCCCUGCCCUUUGUACACACCGCCCGUCGCUCUUACCGAUGACUUUCCCUGUGAGUUUGAAGGACUGGUGGUUGCAUGACUAUUGGAAAUUCU
rnacentral:rRNA from 1 species